rnacentral:piRNA from 1 species
UAUGAUAUUUUCUCUCCCUCU